UACGUAGGGGGCUAGCGUUGUCCGGAAUCAUUGGGCGUAAAGCGCGUGUAGGCGGUCCGGUAAGUCCGCUGUGAAAGUCGGGGGCUCAACCCUCGGAUGCCGGUGGAUACUGUCGGGCUUGAGUACGGAAGAGGCGAGUGGAAUUCCUGGUGUAGCGGUGAAAUGCGCAGAUAUCAGGAGGAACACCAAUUGCGAAGGCAGCUCACUGGGACGGUAUUGACGCUGAGACGCGAAAGCGUGGGGAGCAAACAGG
rnacentral:rRNA from 1 species